rnacentral:rRNA from 1 species
AGUGAACGCUGGCGGCAGGCCUAACACAUGCAAGUCGAGCGGCAGCGCGGGGGCAACCCUGGCGGCGAGCGGCGGACGGGUGAGGAAUUCGUCGGAAUCUGCCUUUUUGUGGGGGAUAACGUAGGGAAACUUACGCUAAUACCGCAUACGUCCUACGGGAGAAAGUGGGGGACCGCAAGGCCUCACGCAGAAAGAUGAGCCGACGACCGAUUAGCUAGUUGGUGGGGUAAAGGCCCACCAAGGCGACGAUCGGUAGCUGGUCUGAGAGGAUGAUCAGCCACACUAGGACUGAGACACGGCCCAGACUCCUACGGGAGGCAGCAGUGGGGAAUAUUGGACAAUGGGCGCAAGCCUGAUCCAGCCAUGCCGCGUGUGUGAAGAAGGCCUUCGGGUUGUAAAGCACUUUUGUCCGGAAAGAAAUCCCUGGAGCUAAUACCUUCGGGGGAUGACGGUACCGGAAGAAUAAGCACCGGCUAACUUCGUG